rnacentral:rRNA from 1 species
AGCAGCCGCGGUAAUUCCAGCUCCAAUAGCGUAUAUUAAAGUUGUUGCAGUUAAAAAGCUCGUAGUUGAAUUUCGGGGUUCUACCGUUGGUCGGGCUUUGUCUGUACUGGCGUGUAGAAUUUCUACCUUCUGGGAAACCAUCAUGUUAUUAAUUUAGCGUGGUAGGAAACCAGGACCUUUACCUUGAAAAAAUUAGAGUGUUCAAAGCAGGCUUAUGUCUGAAUACAUUAGCAUGGAAUAAUAAAAUAGGACGGUGGUCCUGUUUUGUUGGUUUCUGAAUCACCGUAAUGAUUAAUAGGGAUAGUUGGGGGCAUUAGUAUUCAAUUGUCAGAGGUGAAAUUCUUGGAUUUAU